UGUACUCCCAGAGCCUUGGGAGGUCGAGGCGGGAAGAUCGCUUGAGCCCGGGAGCUCGAGACCAGACGCGGCAACAUGGCGAGACGCACAUCUCUGCCUUUAAAAAUGAGAGGCUGGCGGUUACCUUUCUUGGGGAGACGCGUCCGACUGCUUCAUUGUGGGGGCCUCAGGAGCGGAGGAUCGGGUCCCGCCCGAGGUGACGCGUAAACCCAGACUCUCAGCAACGCGGGUAGGAAGGACCCUUGAAGUUCCGCGGCGACCACGUCGGCUGAAACCAGCAGCCCAGGACAAGUGGACCAGCCAGCAAGACCCAGACCAUCCAAACCGGCUGAUCCUACGACAGGACCCAGAUGCCAGUGAAAGUGACCACAGCCCUGCUCUAGUCACCCCGGAAGCUGACCAGUCUACGCACGGCCGAAGCUUCGUCAAGGAAGUAAAUGUAGUUAGAAAUCUUAAGCCCAGUAAUUUUCCUUGUCAUC
rnacentral:lncRNA from 1 species